CAAGGAGGCUUUGUGCAAUCUUAGGGUGUUGGGAGAAGGCCCUGGUCGUUUGGAAUCAAGAAGGCAUCAAGAAGAUGCUUUGUGGAGGCAAACAACCAAUGGGAGCUUCCUUGUGUGUGAUUGGCUAGUUCUGGUCUUGGACAGGCUGUCUCUUGCAGUAAAGAGAAGGGAGCCACGACCAUGAACCUGGACAGAUGCAUGGGAAGAUUAGGAGGAGCCUAAGGAGAGCCAAUCACAAGCAAGGAGCCAGCUUGCCUUGGUUUGAAUUAAAGUGAACAGCCAACCUUAUCCUCACAACUCUUCAGAUAUUACAAGAAGACCAUCUCAUCUACACCAUCCAUUCACUCAAGUUAAUAUUAUCCAUUAGAUUUAGGUUUCAGAUUGUGUAAACCUAUUGAGCUUAUAAAUAAGCAUGUAAAUGGCGAUUUGGAGCCUUAAGGG
rnacentral:lncRNA from 1 species